GUGAAAGGGUAAAAGUGUUCAUAAGGUAAAGUUCUAUCAGCCCUGACAUUUUCAGAUUAAUCUAAUUAGCCAUUGUUGGGUUGCUGCCAAUAAAUUUCUAAUUUUUAGGAAAUUUUGCAGUUUUUGGUUAUUAUCUUGAAUAGUAUUAAUGAUAAAGAUAUACUGUAAUCAGCAAAGUAAGAUCUACAAAUAAGUUUAUAUGACCAAAAUUCUCAAUUGACCCCUAAAAGAGUUAUUGCCUUUUAAGGAAGGACAAUUUUACACAAUUUGUUUAUCAUGUUUACUAACUAAAAAAUCUUCUUAUCUGAAACCACUGAACCAAUUCCAAACAAACUUAAGGAUGUACUAAGAUGAGGUUAGGUAAAAAUUAAGAAAUUAAGAAAUUAAAAUUGAUACUAUAAGCUGGUAGAGCAUCAAUUAAGGAAAAAGAUAAACUAAAAAUAUUGAUGGGUCAAGGACCUCCUUUUUCGAGAUAUUUGCGAUUUAAAAUAUGGCGGGAAAAGGCUGACUCAGACUUUUACCUUAUAUUUGCAUGGUAUUAUUUGGGUCUUAAAACAAAAGAAAGAAAAUAAAGAAUCUUCUAAAAUUAUGGUAAAUGACUUUUCAUGAGCUGUUAAGUCUUAUAUGAAAAAAUAAAUGGGUGUUAUGGGGCAAAAUAUUUUACAUUGUUUUGUAUGGAAAAACACCAAGGAGUCCGAACAUUUGACACACAUUCCAAAACCUCACCUAAGUACAUCCUUAAGCUGAAUGAUCCUUAGGGUGUGUAAAAUAAAGUUUGUGUUUUAUUUUCUUUUUCGUCAAAAAAUAUGGCCACCAUGGCUAAAAAUAGAACAUAUGUGUAAAAUGCAGUUUUUGGCUUAUAUCUCAAAAACCAAAGCAGUUAGAGCAAAGUUGUGUGUGAAAGGGUAAAAGUGUUCAUAAGGUAAAGUUCUAUCAGCCCUGAAAUUUUCAGAUGAAGCUAAUAACCCAUUGUUGGGUUGCUGCCACUAAAUUGCUAAUUUUAAGGAAAUUUUGCAGUUUUUAGUUAUUAUCUUGAAUAGCAUUAAUGAUAAAGAUAAGUUGUAAACAGCAAAUAUGUUCAGCAGAGUUAGAUCUACAAAUAAGUUUAUAUAACCAAAAUUGUCAAUUGACC
rnacentral:lncRNA from 1 species